rnacentral:tRNA from 1 species
GUAGGCGUGGUGCAGGAGGAACGCAGCAGUCUGCCAGUCUGCGGUCGCGGGUUCGAGGCCCGUCGCCGACU